UGGGUUUUCGUCUGCCAUAUUUUCCAUUUUUAUCUCUACCAAGGUCAGGGCUGUUUUAAACGUUUUUGUUUCGUCGAUUAAUGAAAAUUAAAACAUGGUUGCAAGAAUCGUAAACUUUGUUAUGUAACUGCUUCAACUUUACGUAACUCGUAAGUCGUAACACACCGGCAGAGAUAACCGGCUAAUGGUACGAUUAAUGUAGCUGCACCAUGCUUAAUCAUUAACACACUACAUAUACUACUAAAAUGCUAAAAAGUAUAAUAUCGUAGGCAAUUUCUCUUGCAUGUGUUGUGUGCGUAGUUGAUAAUAAAUGCCAACAGACCAGAAUACACAUUUGUUCGCUAGAUAGCCAAGAGGAUGGAGCUUGAGUCAUGGGGAAGUUGAUGGUCUUAUCACAAGGUCUUUCCUCUUUACAGGGGUAUAGUUCUUCUGCUUGUUUACUCAGACUAAUCGCAAACCGUUUAGUGCAUGCACAGUCCAGUCUGGUGGAAACAAUGGCGACUUUGGCAACGGCAUGUGGCACAUCCAUAAAAACAAAAGAUAUGGCUGUGCUGAAUUCCCCUGGAGCGUGAUGACAAAUUGUAGACAAAAACGUUCAUCAAGUAAUCGAAGGAAAACAAUCUCUUCUCAAAAGACAUUACGGAUGAAGGCAUAAAUCUCUUACGGGUCAAUACGUAUCCAAUCACGAUCUGAGGAUUUAUGGAAGCAGUCACCAUGGAGACGAGACGGCGACAUGAUAGACCCGAUUUUCUGCUGCGUUUCGUGAGGGGGUGAGGCAAACGGCGAUGAUGGCGUAAAACACUCCGUGUCGGAUCAAUACUGCGUUCAUCGCUGCUAACAGAAAAAGAGAAAAGAAAAAAUCCUUUAAAAACAAACAAAAAUACGACAAAUGCAAGGACGUGUCGAGUAGACGAAAGCAGAUAAAAAGGAAGUAAUCACGCUCCAUUUGAGGUCAGUCCAUUACCUCCUUCACGCACGUACAAUUGAGAGAAAUCAGCUGAUUUUGUAUCUUUCUGAAAUCGAUCAACGGCUCAAGAGGAAAAGAUGUCCGAAAACCAACUAGAAAUAGGCAGGCUCCAUCCACCCGGAAUUUAAAAGAUGUUCGGAAAAAAUUCCAGGCGAAAGGAACCCAUUCAAAAAGAAAUCAAACGGAAAAGGCAAUCCAUUCAACUGGUGAUGUACAAGAAACAUAUACACAAAACAAAACGGAAAAAAAAGAAAAGAAACGUCAUAUAUUUCUUAGGGUUAAAGGAAAGGACGAAACUUAUGGGAGGGAACAGGGAAUAAUGUCCUUCGAAGAAAAGCCACGUAAACGAAUACAGAAAAAAUUAAUGAAAAAAACAAACAAAAACAACUCGGGUUUAAUCGCAUAAACACUGAUAUCAAUCCGUCUCGUGUCCCGGGGGUGGAGGUGAGUAAAGAAAAAAAAAAAAAAAAUAUGUAUAUAUAUAAUUAUAUAUAAAUCCAUUCCAUUCCAAUCCCUCCCACUAAAAAAAAAAAGAAAGAAAAAAAAAAUUACAUUUAAAAAUGCGACACGAAAAAUAAGUGACGGGGAGUAAAGGGUGCACGAAAGCUCUUGACAUCAUCGAUACGUAGGAAAGAUGGAAAAUGAAUGUUGAAAGUGGCGAAGAAGAAGGAAAAAGAGGAUCUUCAAACAGCAAGA